UGUCCCAGCCGCCGCGGUAAUACGUAGGGUGCGAGCGUUAAUCGGAAUUACUGGGCGUAAAGCGUGCGCAGGCGGCUUUGCAAGACAGAUGUGAAAUCCCCGGGCUCAACCUGGGAACUGCAUUUGUGACUGCAAGGCUAGAGUACGGCAUGAGGGGGAUGGAAUUCCGCGUGUAGCAGUGAAAUGCGUAUAUAUGCGGAGGAACACCAAUGGCGAAGGCCAUCCCCUGGGCCUGUACUGACGCUCAUGCACGAAAGCGGUGGGGAGCAAACAGGAUCA
rnacentral:rRNA from 1 species